rnacentral:rRNA from 1 species
CCUACGGGGGGCUGCAGUGGGGAAUUUUGGACAAUGGGGGAAACCCUGAUCCAGCCAUGCCGCGUGCGGGAAGAAGGCCUUCGGGUUGUAAACCGCUUUUAGCCGGGAAGAAAAGGCGGCCCCUAACACGGGUCGUUUUUGACGGUACCGGCGGAAUAAGCACCGGCUAACUACGUGCCAGCAGCCGCGGUAAUACGUAGGGUGCGAGCGUUAAUCGGAAUUACUGGGCGUAAAGCGUGCGCAGGCGGUUCGACAAGUCCGAUGUGAAAGCCCCG